UGAGAUGCAGAAACUCCUUGACUCGUUGGAUAAGGAGACAUCUGACAUCUCUGGACACAGAAAAGCUGUAGCCCUCAGAGGACUUCCGCUCUUUGUCAGGGAUUAUGGAGCAGAGAAGAUCCUGAAAACAUGCUUGAACACUGAUCCAGAAGAACAACACACCAAAAGUGUGAGAAUGGCAGUCCUGACUGUGGUUGAGGACGAUGGCGGGGC